rnacentral:rRNA from 1 species
GAGGAAAAAAGCCUGGGCCGGGCAGGCUUAACACAUGCAAGUCGAACGCCCCGCAAGGGGAGUGGCAGACGGGUGAGUAACGCCUGUAAAACAUACCCUUUCCUGCGGAAUAGCUCCGGGAAACUGGAAUUAAUACCGCAUACGCCCUACGGGGGAAAGAUUUAUCGGGGAAGGAUUGGCCCGCGUUGGAUUAGCUAGUUGGUGGGGUAAAGGCCUACCAAGGCGACGAUCCAUAGCUGGUCUGAGAGGAUGAUCAGCCACAUUGGGACUGAGACACGGCCCAAACUCCUACGGGAGGCAGCAGUGGGGAAUAUUGGACAAUGGGCGCAAGCCUGAUCCAGCCAUGCCGCGUGAGUGAUGAAGGCCUUAGGGUUGUAAAGCUCUUUCACCGAUGAAGAUAAUGACGGUAGUCGGAGAAGAAGCCCCGGCUAACUUCGUGCCUUCAGCCGCGGUAAUACGAAGGGGGCUAGCGUUGUUCGGAAUUACUGGGCGCAAAGCGCACGUAAGCGGACAUUUAAGUCACGGGUGAAAUCCCGCCACUCAACUGCGGAACUGCCUUUGAUACUGGGUAUCUUGAGUAUGAAAGACGUAAGCGAAAUUCCGAGAGCCGUGGUGAAAUUCAGCAUAUAUUCGGAGGAACACCGGCGGCGUAGGCGGCUUAAUGGUUCUAUACUCGUGUUGAUGUGUUGUAUCCUUUUUCCCGCUUAAAUUAUUCUCCUACCAUGGUAUU